ensembl:lncRNA LINC02195 long intergenic non-protein coding RNA 2195
CUCAUUUGAACACAGCUUCAACACUCAUCGGUGUAUGAGUGGUUGAAGUAUAGCUCCUGGGAUUGGCCACGACUCAGCUGUUGUUACAGGUCCCCAGACUUAGAGAUCCAGGAGAUGAACUCAAGAGCAGCCCGUUGCCUGCAGUGGCUGACAUGAAGCCUUUCUGCGUCAUCGGUGUCUUGUCUGAUGCUUCCCCAGUGGAAUUUCCUGCUGUGUUCCUGGGAAACCCAAGCAACCAGAAGUUCAUCCAAUUAUUUAUUUGCUUCGAGUCAUCCGGAUGUAAAAGUAUGCAGCUAUCAUAUACUGGUGAAGACUCCUUCCAUGUAAACAUCCACAUACUCUGGGGAAACCUGCUGCCAAAGUAGGAGGAUUCCAAAGGACCUAGAGGAAGAAAAAGCUACAAUAUGGAAGACACCUGAGUUUCUGAAGGACUGUGUGGAGCACUUCCUUCUGCUGAUGAACAUGUGCUAUGAAAAAUAAACUUAUUUUGUUUAGCAACUAA